UUAGGAAUAUUGGGCAAUGGAGGAAACUCUGACCCAGCAACGCCGCGUGAAGGAUGAAGGUUCUCGGAUUGUAAACUUCUGAUCUGUGGAAAGAAACAAAUGACGGUACCACAGGAGAAAGCUCCGGCAAACUACGUGCCAGCAGCCGCGGUAAUACGUAGGGAGCAAGCGUUGUCCGGAAUAACUGGGCGUAAAGGGAGCGUAGGUGGCGAUUUAAGUGAAAUGUGAAAGCCCGGGGCUCAACUCCGGAAUGUCAUUUCAUACUGGAUUGCUUGAGUGCAGGAGGGGUAAGCGGAAUUCCUAGUGUAGCGGUUAAAUGCGUAGAUAUUAGGAAG
rnacentral:rRNA from 1 species